UGGGAUAGAGCUCAGAGGUAGAGCACAUGCUUAGCAUGCACGAGGUCCUGGGUUCAGUCCCCAGUACCUCCA
rnacentral:tRNA from 1 species